GAUGAAGAACGUAGCGAAAUGCGAUAAGUAAUGUGAAUUGCAGAAUUCAGUGAAUCAUCGAAUCUUUGAACGCACCUUGCGCCCUUUGGCUAUUCUGAAGGGCAUGCCUGUUUGAGUAUCAUGAACACCUCAACUCUCAUGGUACGCCAUGAUGAGCUUGGACUUUGGGGGUCUUGCUGGCCUACGGUCGGCUCCUCUCAAAUGAAUCAGCUUGCCAGUGUUUGGUAGAGUCGCAGGUGUGAUAACUAUCUACGCUUGUGGUUUUCUGCCAGAUAACCUUCAGUGAUGGAGGUUCGCUGGAGCUUAUAAAUGUCUCUCCCCAGUGAGGACAGCUUUUUGAACGUUUGAUCUCAAAUCAGGUAGGACUACCCGCUGAACUUAAGCAUAUCAAUAAGCGGAGGA
rnacentral:misc_RNA from 1 species